CCACACUUUCCAUGUUACAAACUGAUUAAUAUAUAAAUUCUCUCUUCAAUUAACCCUGACCUGAUGCAAUAAAUUUCUGUAUAAUUUUUCCUGAUAAGGAUGAUAUGCAAACCACAGAGAGGAGAGCAGCAAACCUGACUGAGGGUAAUAUUAGCCACAUGAUAGUCUCCGAACAGAACUUGGAGAAAAAGCAAAAUCUACCAUAAUGUACUGAGUCGUUAUUGCUAACAGAAGCAUAGCUCAUCUGUAACAGCAGUAACAUUGGUCUCAACUGGGGAAACACGGCAGGAGGUUCACGGAGUGCUCUUCCACCAUGCUGGGGAAAUGAUCCCUGGUGAAUGCCCAAAUGCAGCUUGAAACAUCAGAAGUGCUGGUACUCAGAUCAUCUAAAGCACCAGUUACAAAUAUAUUACAAGGAUGUAUAUGCUCAAAGCUGCUGUUAUAUGAAGCAUGUCAUCUGUAUAGCCCAGGGGAGAAGAAUUAAAUUGUGCAAUCCUAGUUAGAAGCUGAAUGGAUGCUCUGAUACUUGGAGCCGAAAGGCGUAAAAUGCAACAGCAAGCAGUCAGAGAGGAAACAAGCUUUGGCCUGUUCUGGACAUUUCUACACUCCAGAAUAAACCCAGUUUACCACCAAUGGCUAAGAUAGCUACAAUGUGGGAGCGCCCCAAAAAUAGAGAGUAGCCAGCUGAAUUGAUUGAAUUUAGUGUUAUGAGUGGUGGUAAAUAAGCCCAACACUACAGGGGAAGUUGAAGCUCCAGCUUUCCACUAUAAUAAAUUCUUGUAGCUCUAAAACCUCCACUGCUUGAACCGUCAGAGGCUCCUGAGUGGGAGAAGUGUUCUUUUAUUCAUCCUAUGAAAUCCCAUUCAGGUUCUGCUGCCAUAUGAAUAGCUGAUAAUUGCCAUUUCCUUCCACUUGCUUGUGUUCCCCAGGAAAUCGCAGCUGGCUGCCAACCCCACCGAGGGCAAGCAGGGUGGGGAGCUGUGCGGCAGCAGCUGCAGGCAGCACAGCUGUCCUGGCGGGGUUCGCGAGAUACCAGGUCACCUUCACAGCUGCAGCCUUCAUCAGCUGCUGACUGAAGCAAAACUUCAAGAGUAAUGAAGACCAAGAACACUUGUUGACAAGGAGGGUUUCUGCAGUUGAGAAGAGAAUUUCUGGGACUGGAGUUAGCAGACCAAAACCAGUAACACCUGCUUUGUCAUCAACACAGAGAAAGCUAGAUCACACUGUGUUUUUUGCUGAGCAGUGGUCACUGCAGGAGACCCAGUCAAGACCUUCCAGUGUGAUCAGCAAAAGGAUGCCUUCUUAGGUUCACUGAGUCCCACGUAACAAGAUCCUGCAGAUUCAAGAAAGCUGGAAGAAGACAACAUGAUGAACAUCCCCUGAAAAUGUGAAUAGUGCCUGUUCAUAAAAACAGCCAGGAAUGUGUCAGUCUGCAUCUGACUGAGCUUGGUAAGUGAAGGCAGGUUAAGAUCCUAAUGGCAGCAUGACUCUUUCUUUUAGAAAGCAGUGCAGACAUAGGUGUUCUGCUUUCUAGCAGCAUUAGAUUUGCAAUGGUUGGUUCAGCCCAGUUAACUGUUUUGAUAAUGCUAUACUGGUUGAAGUUUUCCCAAUCAGGUUCUCAUGGUUUCCCAAUCCACUCUACCUCCCUACUGAAUGCAUUUGCAUGCAGUGCAAGGAGGGAAGUGAGAGCUGGAAUGUGUCCUCUUACCAGCCCUGGGGCUACGUUAUUUCAGGUAUAUAAAGCUAUCUGGUCCAGCUUGUUAACCCAGGAAACUUCUAGAAAGCCUUUCCUUUUUCUGAGACAAAGACCCAAGCCAAAUCCAUGCUUUUUUUUUUUUAUGUUUUAAUAGUAAGAUUGUUUCCAAAAUAAUUAUACUGUGGAUUUGGUUACAUGAUGUACAUAAGAAGUGAAAAGGAAGAACACGUAUGACUUUCAGUUUCCUGAAAGCCAACAUAUACAGAUGCAAUUAUUUUCCCCCAUUAUGUUCACACUUUACACCAAUCACAUUGCAAGGCCAUCUAACCUACCUUAUACUUAUAAUAAGUAAUGUACUCCAGCUCCCUUGUUUCUUGAGGAACAAGUAGUGUCAUGAGAUGGCAAUAUUGCAAGCGGAGGAAGGCAUGCUAGUCUUGUGUCACAAAAUUCAGUACUCAGGAUUCUGGUGUUUGCACUGCUCUUAAUUACAAGCCUUGGAGAAAAGGGUCAUCUAUCAUGCACAGAACUCCAAGGGCAGCUUUGUUGGCUUAUUAAUCCCAUUGUAGUAUCAGAUCAUAAAAACAAUUUGAGUGAUUUGGUAAUGUGAUUUGGUAAUGCUCUGAUUUAUGCGUUACCAUGAACAGAAGAGACAGAUUAACCAUACCAUGAAUUGUAACACACUAAUUCCUCAUUGUGGCUCUAACAACUGAGUCACAUGCAGUUUCAAUUAUUUCACAUGUUUGGCAGCCAUUCUUCCCAAAGGAACAAUAAGCAUUAACACAAUAAUCUGAAAGAAGCUUAUUAAAACAUGUGUGACAUAAGUUCCGUCUAUUAAAAAAUAUUUGACGUUCCAUGCUGCUUUUGUUUUAACCAUACUAAUUUCUGCAGUUAAAAGAUCUUAAUCUGAAUACCUUAAAAAUGCUUUCAAAUUUGUCAUGCUCCACUAAUAUGUCAGAUCAUUGAUAGGCUAAUAAACUAGUGUUAUUUUAGGAGAAAUUCAUGAAAAAUUAUGGGCAGCAGGGGUUAACAUGCUCGGAUGGGAAUGAGCUCUUCUGAAUUAAGCAGUGUUUUAAAUUGGAUACACUCAGUAGAAGAAUGAUGCUACAGCCACUGCUGCUUCUAAUAAUGUCUUUUUCUUCACUCAGAGCUCUUCAAUCAGAGAUUCCCAAACACUUUACCAAGACUGUGAAUAUCAGACUUACAUUUUGCAGGUCAUGUAUGCAGAAACUAAAGCCAAGACACAAAUUGACCAGAGAAACAAAAAGAAUCAGUGCCAAAAUUGGAAUGAAAUAUUCUUAUAUUUUCUGUCCAUCCUACAAACCCCAGAAUUCUUUUUAAAAAAAUGUCAGAGACAUGCUUUCAUUUGUUUUUGCAAUUUACAUUUCAGUCCAGGUUGGUUUGCUAUUCCGUCCAUUAUACUAAUAUGACACAUUGUCCUAUGCUGUCUCAUGAACAAUGAAUGAAGAUGGAAUUUGGACAACUUGUUCAACUCCAUUGCAUUGCCUGAGUGAAAAAGCUAAAUAAGAUCAAUAGAUGUGCUGUGCAGAUUUUACAGUAGAAGAUGCUGUGUAUUCCACACACCCUCUUGCCUCCAAGGCAGAAAGUGAGUAGUUGCCCCUGCUCAGCUUCCUUGUGAAGAAACUUUCUCCUGUGGUGGGACUGUAGCUUCUUGGAAAGGGUAGCCAUUUAUCACAGUCCUAAAUGAAAGCAUUCCUUGGACACAAAUGUCUUUUUCUUUCUUUGUCUAAUUACUGAGGGGAAAAGUGAGAAGGAAAUGUCAAAACAGUGAAACAGUGGUGUAUAGAGAGCAGUCACUUUGGAGCUCAACCAGCUUUUGUGAAGGCCUGGGCAAUUUGUCAAAUGGUUGUGGCAUAAGUCAAGCCCUGAGGUUGAAAGGUCUUGACCUAAAGAGUGCUGAAAUCAGGCAGUAUAAGCAAGAGGGCUGCCAGAAGUUUCAGCUGUAGUGGAGAUGAACAAUGAUGGGUGCUGGACACAACAAAACCUCAUCUGCAUAAUUCAGGUAAGGAAUUUUAUUGAAUCUGACAAGUAUGUGACAGGCUGAGAAAGAGAAAAGAACAUGCUCUUGCUGGGAACCUUUAAAGCUCUUCCGUUAAGGUAUGUGGAAAUAAAUGACAGCUAAUCUCUUCACUAAAAAAAAGGUAAACAAUGCCAUUUUACACAGGCCUCACCCAUGACCUUUUCAUAGAUGAGGCUAUCCACUUUCAGGCCAGGCCACAGAACUUAUCAAAAACAAUGCAGUGAAUUCAGAUUGCACAAGAAGGGCUUUGCUUCUCCCGGUUGCUUCAAGUAAUGCUGCUACUCGUUUGGCAGGUAUACUUAGCAGAAAGGCUACCACUUAAAUCUAGGGAGUAACGCAUCAUGGCAAAUGGAAAAUCCACACAGAGACCUUUUAGUGGAAGCUUUUUGGGGGGUUUAUUUUUCUCUUUUUUUUGUGUUUUUUUUUUUUUUUAGGGUUUUGUCUUGCAUGAGUCAUACUGCAACUAUAAAUCUCAAGCUAAAAGAUCAUAAAGUGACAAGACAAAUUUUCUGCAUCAUUUUCAUCAAUCUGUUGUUGCUUUUAAACUAACCAAAGUUUUAAAAAUCCUUCAUUACUUCCUCAUGCCAAAUUUCUGAGAAUUUCUUUUUAAUUUAUUUUAACCACUUGUUUCCAUUAUAAGUCUUCUUUAGGUAAAUAAUAGAGUUUAAGAAGAGUAUGCAAUUGAUGCUUUUAAAAACACAAAUAAGAUGCUGACCACUGGCUU